rnacentral:lncRNA from 1 species
AGACUAUGUGCUGUAAAUAAUUUUUGAAAAUUAUGUGUUCAAAGUAGUCUUUUUUCUAUACACUGACAUCACCAAGAUAGAAAUAUAGAACAUCAGUUCAGUCGAAUGAAAAUUUUUGGUAUUUAUGAGUUUAUUUAAUAAUGUUAUUACCAGUACUGGCAUUCUCAAAUUGAUAAAUCAAAACAUUACUAUAAGUGUACUAUAGUGCUAUAACACAUACACAUUCAUACGACGCGUUGAAACGUAUAUUUUGUUAUGACAAUGUUUAUUUGUUUCAAUCGAAUUUAUUUGAAAUCAACUGGAUGUGUACUUAUUGAUAGUUUAGUGUGGGAGACAUGUCUCAUUUCUUAUAUAACAAUUGUUUUGAACUAGCUGUCAGAAUGUGUUUUUUUUAUCCUUUUUGUCUUUGCGAUUUUAACAAUUGUUUAUAUUAAGAUUUGCAGUUACAGCCCAGGUUGGAAGAGAAGAGUUGUGCGCGUUCAAACCUGUUAAAUGUCCAAUUUCAAUUAAAUCACACCCAGCCCUUUGAAACCCUUUGUUGUUUCAAAUAUUAAAUCACAAUCCAUAUUCAGAGCUGUAUCAAGCCUGAAUGUUGUGUCCGUUAUUGUCUCAAUUAUUCAGGAUUUGACCGCUGCGGUCUAUGGAGCAUUAUAUUUUACUAAUAGACAAUUAACAUGGGAUAUAUAU